rnacentral:rRNA from 1 species
GAUCCUGGCUCAGGAUGAACGCUAGCUACAGGCUUAACACAUGCAAGUCGAGGGCGAGCAUGGUCUUAGCUUGCUAAGGCCGGAUGGCGACCGGCGCACGGGUGAGUAACACGUAUCCAACCUGCCGUCUACUCUUGGACAGCCUUCUGAAGGAAGAUUAAUACAAGAUGGCAUCAUGAGUCCGCAUGUUCACAUGAUUAAAGGUAUUCCGGUAGACGAUGGGGA